GAUGGCGACCGGCGCACGGGUGAGUAACACGUAUCCAACCUGCCGAUGACUCGGGGAUAGCCUUUCGAAAGAAAGAUUAAUACCCGAUGGCAUAGUUCUUCCGCAUGGUAGAACUAUUGAAGAAUUUCGGUCAUCGAUGGGGAUGCGUUCCAUUAGGUUGUUGGCGGGGUAACGGCCCACCAAGCCUUCGAUGGAUAGGGGUUCUGAGAGGAAGGUCCCCCACAUUGGAACUGAGACACGGUCCAAACUCCUACGGGAGGCAGCAUG
rnacentral:rRNA from 1 species